CAUCCCUAAUCCUUUAGAAUUGAUGUAGAUGAUCAGUUGGAGUUCUUUCACACAUUCUAUCAUCGAGGGCCUCUCGUGACUGUCUACUCGGAUGCAGCGUGACGCCAGGUCAACUGCUCUCCGUCCAGUCAAAAGCUCGAGUAGUACAACUCCAAAUGCGUAGACAUCACUUUGUAGAGUAAGUUUCCCUGUCUGUUGCAAGGUAGACAUAAAUAUCUCGAUCCCUCUUGCCAUUCCAUAAGUUAAUGUUAGAAAUGGUUUCCCUGUUGGUUGGUUUGAAAGCCCUAUCUCAAGAAAAAAAAACUAGAUAAUCCCUUCUUUACUCCUUUAUAUUAGCUCCCACUUAAGGCAAUGAUCUCCAAGAUUUAUAAAACGGAAAAUGUCUAUAUUCAGUUUAACUGGUUUAUUAUGAAGUAAAGAAAUGUUAGUUAAAUGAUUCCUAAAGUAAGGAAAUGUUAGUUAGUUUCCUAGCUUUAUAAAAAAUUUGCAACCAAGACAAAAAUAUAAGAGUUUAUGUUUGUAAAUAUAAAAAUUUAGCUUAUAGUAAGAUAGCUAUUGAUGGAUUUAUUGCUUUCAUCUCCCAAGUUUCUAGUUCAAAAUUCAGUCUCUGGCAUAGAGAAUUUAGUAAAAGCAGUCAAGAAAGAAACCAAACAAUACAUUCUUUAAGAUGAAAACUAUAGAAAGAAGUUUGUAGUCAUACCAAGGUAUAUUCGGGAUCAAAAUAGCCAAAAGUGCCAAGCACUGUUGCGGUUGUGAUACAAGUUUCCUGGCCUUCUGGCAUUAACUUUGCUAGCCCGAAGUCUGAUAUCUGCAAAUAAAGCCUUGGAUGAUAAGUCUUAAUAUGCUUAUAAUAACAGUUGUAAUAUGUUAAAGUUUCUGGGAAAAAAUGUUACCUUUGCUUCGAAAGUAGCAUCAAGAAGAAUAUUAGUAGAUUUGAAGUCUCUGUGGACAAUAGGAAUUCCGACAUCAGAACCUGAAUGGAGGUACGCAAGUCCUCUUGCUGCUCCGAGAGCAACUUUUAGCCUCGAAGGCCAAUCAAUCUUUACACGUUCGAUUCCUGUAGGAUGAUUUGCAUAUAAAUCAACGAAGCAAGGGAAAAUGUAGUAAUUGAAAACCUCUUUUUAUUAGUCCUUACUAACCCACCAUUUAAGUGAUCUUGCAGAUUCCCUUUGUGCAGAUACUCGUACACCAGAAACCUUUGCUUCCCAUCUGCACAGUAUCCAAUCAAGUUGACAAGAUUGGGAUGGUCCAGUCUGCUCAGGAUAUCGACCUCUACGCGGAACUCCCUCUCUCCUUCUGCUUUUUUGAAUGGUAUUUUGUUUUACUGAAGGAACGUGCGACUCCAACAUACCUGCCCGGACCUUAGAGUGCCUUUAUAUACCCGGCCAAAGCCUCCUUUCCCAAGCAGGUAUUCAUCACUGAAGGAACAUGUCGCUUCCUCCAUCUCCUUCACUGUGUAUACUGCUGAUGCAGUUCUUCUUUUCGGCGGGGGCCCUUUGCACUCGAUCUGCCACUGCUCCACUGGUUUGUACACCCCUAAACCAACCACAAAAAUCUCAGAACUAAAACAUAAAUAUCAUAUCAUCUUAGAAAGUAUGAGAAAUAGAAAAAUUACAAGGAUUGGUCUGAUCCUCGGACUUGCUUCUCCUACGUUUGUUCCACGCAGAAACUAAUCCAAAAGGCAUCUUUUGUUGCUUUGCUCUAGGAAGAAGUAGUCCUAACACAACAACAUAGGAGUUGAGUUUUCCUUAAACUAGAAGCAGGUGUAAAUAUGAGCCCGGGGAGAGGUUAUAUUGUUUGGAAGUAUGAGAAUCGGUAUAUGAGUGUGUACAAAGCAAGUGAGGUAAGUUGGAUUUGAGCAUACUUAGUUCCAACAACAGCCAGGAUUUGGCACUUAAGUUAAAGAAAGAGGUGUAAUUUGCUUAGGUUUGUGCAUGCGUAUGUAUGUCUGAAAGGGAAAGAGCAUCUGCAAAAUCUUGUUCCAUAAUUUAUUGUUUUGAAUAUUUGUGAGAUUGAGAAAGAAUAUGGUUAAGGGGUGGCUUUCAUUGCUGCUCCAAAUCAA